AGCCUCAGCCCACAGAGCCUUCACCACGACCGGGAGCUGACCCCUCUCCCCCAGCAGCAAGGGUGACCCCUGACCCAGUGAGCUGGAUGGUGGGGCCCUGGGGCAUCCUGGUGGGCCUGGCUGUGGGCUGGGUGUUAGGACGGGGCUGUGGGCAGGGCUGGCGGUGCUUCCCAGGUCUCAGGGUGGGUUUGCCCCAGCCAGGCCCCUUUGUGACCAGAGCUGAGGCAUGGGCUAUACCCACUUCAUCCUUAAGUGAAGGAUGCACCUGAGGAUUCAUGCUUUCAUUUCACAAAUAUUUACUGGGCACAGCUAUAGGCCUGGGGGACCAGCUAUAAGCAAAUUAGGUGUGGUCCCUGCCCUCAAGGAAGCUAUGUCUUGCUUUGACGAGUAUUCCAGUGGACAAGCUCCCCCAGUUGGAGCCCCACAGUCAUCUCUUCCCAAGCCUUGGUUUUCCCAUCUGAAAAAUGGGUGUAGCACCCGGUUGGCAGGGUUGUUAGGGUUAGAGAGGGUUAGUGGUGACAUGGCUGGCCUUGGACCCUCUUCGUUCUGACCCUGGAGUUAAGCAGCCUUGCGGUCUGGCCCCAGUUCUGGGGAGAGGCUUUCCUGGCCCAGGGGGCUCACAGGCCUUCCUUAGCGAGGCCCCUUCUGCCAGGAGCUGAGCUCACGGGGCGGGGCGGCCCCAGGGGCCACACAUCCGUUAUUCUCCCUUUCCUGGGAGCUGGUCCAGAGACAAGGGGCAGGGUGUCUGGUUUUCGUCGUGUGGCUGUCUCUAAUUCCUUUGGCAUCUGAGCUGCUUUUCAGAAGGAGGAAGAUGUGACUCAGCUCAGCACUGAGGGUGCAACCUGGCAGCGCUGGAUUCGAAGGCCAGCUGGGCCACUUGCUAGUUGGUGGCCUGGGCAAGGUACCCAUCACCUCUGGGCAGCAGUGGCCCCAUUUGGAAAAUGGGAAUAGUUAUUUCUGCCCUGCCUAUUCCACAAAGUAGAAAUAGACGUGACAGUGCUUCGUAAAUCAUAAAAUAUGAAGCUGGGGUUCUCCUUUGUGUUGGCCUUGUUAUGGGUGGGCCUCUGCCGGGGGACCUUGCCUCACGCAGGAACAGCCAGGCCCCUGGGGGCUAAGCACCUGGCCACACGUCCAAAAUGGUCGGAGCGACUUUUGGGUCCAUGGAAUAGAGGCCCAUUUUAGGAGCUGCCAGCUGGGGACCCUGGAGGAAGGGUUCACUCUGGUGGGUGUGGCUUGGGAACAAAAUAACAUAGUAAUAAUAACUGAUGCUUACUCAGCGUUUCCUAUGUGCCAGGCACACUUCCAAGAAUUUUCUGUGUAUUAACUAACUGAUUCUCACAACAACCUGAGAGAGGUUACAAGUAUUCCCCUUAAAUACCUUUAACGGCAGAAAGGCAUUUCAGGAGAGGACACCGGGUGUGCAGAGGCCUGCGGAGUCUCUUGCCUGCUGGCGGCAGUGGGAGACCCUGCCUGCAGCCUGGAGGAGCUGGCCUGGGGGUCCUUGGAGCCAGCCAAGAGGUUUAGGUUUGAUACAUUCGGCGGGAACCCUUGGAGGCUCUCGGGUGGGUAAGAUGGGGCUCCUGGGAGGAGGGCCACGAGGGACUGGCUGCAGGGGUGCAGAAUCCAAGGAACGAGGUGGGCGUUCCUCAUUCUUCUGUCUUCAUACUUGAGCACGGGCCCAGCUGCCACCCAAGCAGCCCCCAGGGGAAGCCUUGACACCAAGAGGGGCUCAGGAGCUGGGCUGUGGUGGUGCAGGGGCUGGAGGUCUCAGAGCCUGCGUAGGCUGGGGGGCAGCCAAGUGGCCCAGAGCAGGUCCUGUAUGUGCCAGCCUGCACCCCAUCCUGGGAACUGACCUCAGGAAGGGCAGGGCAGUCCUGCCUGCAGGGUUUGAGAGGAGUCUGGAGCAUCCUGCCAACACUGCAGGACAACGAUGCCUUCCCAGUCUGAGCCCUGCUCAGGGGUUUGGCCUUCCUGGGGGAGGGAUAACAACGCUGUGGCCCCAGUGCUCAGAGACAGGAAGCAGGGCUGGAACCUUUUCUCUCAAAUAAAAUGAAGCCGCUUCCCAGGGAGGCCACCGCAGAGGCCUUCAGCCUGAAAAUUCGGGUGCAAACACACUGGUGGGGCACUCAAAUACAACAAAGGCAGACAUGCUGCUCUCCCAGGAACUGGCUGCCUGUUCUCUGAAGCACAUCCAACUUCUCUUCACUCGUCUUUGGAGAGGAUGAACUUGUUCUACGUACCCUGUUCCAUGUGGAAGAGAGCGAGUCUGGCCAGAUUCACCUUCAUGAUGCUUUCCCCGUGCCCCGUCGUUGAAACGGCUCCAAUGUCAUUGUCAGCAUAACCUCCAGAUCCUGCUCAAAGGCGGCGACGGUGCUGAGUAGCAGUAGUCAAGAAACCCAAACACAUAUUACAAGUCUAAUGCUACAUGAAUAUUAAAUCCCAAAGAGUGCAACGCGUAGACGAAGAUCAGAUUAGUAGCCACGACCUUGGGAUGCACAGGUGGACUAGUGAGCACCAUGUGACGACCCUGAAAUCAGGAGGACGAAGGAGCCUCAUGGACAAGAGGCCUGACCUUUCAAGGAGCAGCUACACCAGGACAGCCCCUCCUUUGCCCCAAAGCAUAUCUACCCAGUCUGCACAGAGUGAAACACAUACAGCCCCCACUGACCCACUCCUGGGAAUUAGAUAAUGUGCUUCAGUGUUAAUGCAAAGAACAUUUCGAUCUGUAAUAUCUCUGUAGAAGCAGUGUGUCUCUUUCAUGCCACUCAAAUAUAAAAACUACAAACUUAAAUUCUGUUUUCUUUUCACUAACUUGACCUCAUGCCUGGGAAUAGGUUUUGUGUACUUGGUCCUUUGGGAAUAAGUCUGCAGAUGCUGCCAUUGUGGCUGGAGAGGAGACAGGGGCACUAUGGGGCAGCUUGGGGGCAUCCCCCAUCUCCCUCCCAGGUCACCCCAAAGACGUACAAUCUAGGAGAAACAGAGAGCUGAGUGCCCUCUGAAACGCCCUCUGAAAUCAGUGCGUGCCCUAAACAACUCCUUCCAGUCCAACUGCCACUCCCAGAAAUCCUGAAGCUGCCACCAAGAAGAGGAGGGACAUGAAGAAAGAAAGACAAGGAGAGAGGGGCAGAGAAUCGAGGAUGAGAACUUGUGGAUAGGGGAAGUGGGAGCAGUAGCCAUCCAGCAAGCCCACCUAUACACGGUGUGUCCCCUACUCGGCCGACCAUUUUAUUAACGAUGCCCCCCGUAGAGGUUGCAUAAGCCACGUUUCCUCUGCAGUCCAAGGCAACAGCACCCACAGUGCCCAAGUUUCUGCCAAAAAUAAACAG